AUAAUUGAAGCAUUAUACCUCAAUGAUUAGAAACUUUUUUUAUUAUCCUGUGUUUUCGAUAAUUUGAACAUUAGCUUUUAUAAAAAUGUUUCCUCUAUGUGAGGACUAUAUAUUAAAUGCAGUUUUUUAACAGGGAGAAGGAAUAGGAGCUUGCUCCAGCCACUCCAUGCUUCAGCCUGGUAUUGCAGUAUCACCAGGAACGGUUUAAUGUCG
rnacentral:snRNA from 1 species